UACAGAGGGGGCAAGCGUUGUUCGGAAUUACUGGGCGUAAAGGGCGCGUAGGCGGCCCGCUAAGUCGAACGUGAAAUCCCCAGGCUCAACCUGGGAACUGCGUCCAAUACUGGCAGGCUUGAAUCCGGGAGAGGGAUGUGGAAUUCCAGGUGUAGCGGUGAAAUGCGUAGAUAUCUGGAGGAACACCGGUGGCGAAGGCGGCAUCCUGGACCGGUAUUGACGCUGAGGCGCGAAAGCUAGGGGAGCAAACGGG
rnacentral:rRNA from 1 species